ACCUUCUUAGUAUAAUAUAGUACUACUGACUUCCAAUCAGUAAGAUCUGAAUCAAUAACGGAAGAAGGUA
rnacentral:tRNA from 1 species